rnacentral:snRNA from 1 species
UGCUCACUUCGGCAAUAUCCUAACCCUGGAACAACACAGAAGAUUAGCGUGGCUCCUGUGCAAGGAUGACGUGCACAUUCGUGAAGAGUCCCAUAUGUUU